rnacentral:lncRNA from 10 species
AAACCAGAGGUUCUGCUUCCACUCAAGGGGAGGGGAUUACACAAAGGCAUGAGAAACAGGGAUAAUUGGGGGUAAUUUCAGAGUUUUUCUGCCAUAGGUCCCUAACACAGAAGCGAGUUAUAAGACAUUGCCAAAUUCUUAAUGUUUGAGCUUACAAAAAGUAAUUAUGGGUGAGAAUUGAUGCAUUCAAUUUAGAGAACCUCAUCUACAAUCAAUUUGUCACCAGGAGAAGUGGAAGAAGAGGAUGAUGAUGAAAAUACGUGUGGGCCAUCAGGACUUUGGGAAGCAUUAACUCCGUGUAAUGGAUGUAGGAACCUUGGCUUCCCCAUGCUUGCCCAGGAGUCCUAUCCAAAGAAGAGAAAUUACACUAUGGAAAUUGUACC